GCAUGGAAGCAGAAACCAGGCUGUGCUGCUAAAGAUGUAUUUUUUUCUUACUUGUACACAUGAGAGUCAGCUCUAGGGACUCUUCUACCAAGUAUAGUUUUCUGUACUGAUUAGUUAUUUUUGUAGAACUUAGAUGUAGCAAAAAUUCAUCCAGGGCUUCUGCAUUUAAGCCUUCCAAAAACCACUCCCUGACACAUACUGGUACCCAUCAGGUUUCAGGGAACACAGAAUACAAACAUGGCUGCUCAGG